GAUACAUUUUGAAAAAGUUGGACAAAGUUUCUUUGAAAUGUCUCACAAGAUUGUUCUCCGACUCUGCUUCUCAGUGCUUUUCUUAAGAGCUGGUACACUGUGAGAGGUGAUGCACCAAAGACAAAUUCCUUGUGUGUCCAAUCACACUUGGCCAAUAAAGAAUUCCCUUCUGCUCUGUCCUAUUAACGGAGGACAUUUCUUGGGUGAGAAGUGAAAGCAAAGGAAAUCCAGUUGCCUCCUGAAAAAGCACCUUCGGGAUGAGAUCUGCUGCUUGAGCAGAGGGUUGGGCUAGAAGACCUCUAAGGUCCCUUGCAGCUGGCUUGUUCUUAUUGUGUCAGCUGAGAAGGGAACUUCCUCCACCGCUCUAAGCCUCACUGGGCUCCAGCAUCAGAUUAGCUCAGGUCUUCAGUGCAAAACGAGGAGAACAUUAAAAGAGCAGAAAACUCUGUGGCCCCUUCAGCUUUCACUCGCCUGGCUACGCCCCCAGACCUCCCAACCCACCUUGCCUAGGGGAGGACCCCGGAGGGAGGGAACGGCUGCAGUCCAAGGAGGGACCCUCGGCCUCCCCCUGCCUGAAUGUGAGGACCGGGCGGAGGUUUUUCUCCUGUGUGGAUCCUCUGAUGUCUAUAAAGGCUGCUCCUCUCAGUGAAGCUCUUUCCACACUCC